AUUGAACGCUGGCGGCAUGCCUUACACAUGCAAGUCGAACGGCAGCACGGGAGCAAUCCUGGUGGCGAGUGGCGAACGGGUGAGUAAUAUAUCGGAACGUGCCCAGUCGUGGGGGAUAACGUAGCGAAAGCUACGCUAAUACCGCAUACGAUCUAUGGAUGAAAGCGGGGGAUCGCAAGACCUCGCGCGAUUGGAGCGGCCGAUAUCAGAUUAGGUAGUUGGUGAGGUAAAGGCUCACCAAGCCGACGAUCUGUAGCUGGUCUGAGAGGACGACCAGCCACACUGGGACUGAGACACGGCCCAGACUCCUACGGGAGGCAGCAGUGGGGGAAUUUUGGACAAUGGGCGCAAGCCUGAUCCAGCAAUGCCGCGUGCAGGAUGAAGGCCUUCGG
rnacentral:rRNA from 1 species